GCACAAAAAUGGGUAAACUAGGAUCAUAUGAGAAUUUGGACAAGAUUUGGGUUACGUGGUUAGCAAAGAUGGCCUUCAAUCAUCUCAACAUCCAUAACACAUCUACUUUCAUUUUUUUAGUAGAGGACUUAUGGCAAGUUCUAGAGAUUAACGAGCAUGUUCAAUUGAUUUACACUCAAGAAUGAAAUGAGAUUGUGAUAAUAUGACAAUCAAUGGCUCAAAUCUUACAAGCUCAUUAUCAAGUUCUUGGAGGCAAAACAUUUAACUCACUUGUCACAAGUUCAAACUUUUCAUGCAUAAUCCACAAGUGAUACACACAAUUUUUCCAAGAAACAAUUCAUAUCAUAAGCCCAAUGACAUUCAAUCAACAUCACAAAGUUUGAUACAAUUAUCCCAAGCAAAACAAAAACAAAAAUAUCAACCCAACUAACUCUCAAGCUUUCAUUUAUUCAACAAUAACAAAAACAAGACAACAAAACUAAAACAAACAAAAACAAGUAAAGCAAAAGAUAGAUGAGACAACUAAUCCAUCUCUCCCCUCCCCCCAAACUUAUUUCACACAAAGUGGAAAUGAGUUUGGAGGAAAAGAGAAGGAGAAGUUGUCUCGGACUCAC
rnacentral:lncRNA from 1 species